CAAAAACAUGUCUUUUUGAUUAUUAUUUAAGGUCGGGCCUGCCCAAUGAUUAUUUAAAUGGCCGCAGUAUUUUGACUGUGCAAAGGUAGCAUAAUCAUUAGUUUCUUAAUUGGGAGCUGGAAUGAAUGGUUUGAUGAAAAAUGAGCUGUCUCUAUUUGAAUUUGAUAGAAUUUUAUUUUUUAGUGAAAAAGCUUAAAUUUUGUAUAAAGACGAGAAGACCCUAUAGAGUUUUAUAUUAAGGAUGAUAAAUUUUUUUAGGGUUAUUUGGUUUAAUUUAUUGUUUUUGUAUUUUGUUGGGGUGACAUUAAAAUUGAAUGAACUUUUAAUUAUUUAAACAUUAGUUAGUGAAUUUUUGAUCCUUUUUUGAAGAUUAUAAGAUUAAAUUACCUUAGGGAUAACAGCGUAAUUUUUUCUGAAAGUUCUUAUUGAUGAAGAAGAUUGCGACCUCGAUGUUGGAUUAAAAUUUACUUUUGGUGUAGCAGCUAAAUAGUUAGGUCUGUUCGACCUUUAAAAUUUUACAUGAUCU
rnacentral:rRNA from 1 species